GACAGAGGCCUCGAGCGUUAGGCGGAAUCACUGGGCUUAAAGCGUGUGUAGGCGGACCUCUAAGUACCUUGUGAAAAUCCCACGGCUCACCCCGUGGAACCGCUGGGUAUACUGGGGGGUCUUGGGCCACUCAGGGGCGACUGGAACAAGCGGUGGAGCGGUGAAAAUGCGUAGAUAUCGCUUGGAACGCCGAAGGGUGAAAAAACAGGGUCGCUGGGGAGUGCGCCCG
rnacentral:rRNA from 1 species